AUGCCAGGUUAAGCUUAUAGGUAAGGAAAAUAAUGAUUCAAGAUAAUGCCCAAAUCCUCACUGCUAAUGUGAGAUGAAUUUAUGAGCGAGUAAAGGUAACCCCUAAGGUGACCUGCCUACUGUGUGGGAUGCCUGGGAGUCGCAAUCUGCCUG
rnacentral:snRNA from 1 species